AAACAGUUAUUCUGACUCAGAGUUCUGAGAUAAUUGUUAUUAAUUUUGAAUGUUACAAGCUAUAGUAUACUGGAGAGAUAUAGACGCCAGAACUGUUUUAUGAUUAUGGGACAAAUGUAACGUCUGAUUAUAUGAAAGAAAGGAACAAUCAUUUAUUAUGUGCCAACUGUAUGCCCGGUAUUAUACUAAACACUACAAAUAUCAUAUCAUUGGAUCCCACAGCUACCCUGGGAGGUGAAGAAACCAAACUCUGAGAGGUUGAGUCCAAGGUCAUAUAAACAGCUAAUGCCAGAAUCUGGACGCAUACCUGGGUCUUCUGACUUCAAGCCCAGAGGUCUUUCCUUCUUUACUACAUUACCUUCAUUAAAUGAUAUGGGAAAAUACCAUUGUAAACUCUGAAGUAUUAUACUAACAUAACAGUGAUCAUAACAGACACUUAUGUAGUGCUUUAAGGUUUGCAAGGAAAUUUACAUAGUUUUUAUUUGAUCCUCACAAUAACAUUCUGAGGUUGGUGUUAUUAUUAUCCUUUGUUUUAUAGAUUAGGAAACUGAGGCUAAGAGGUGUUU
rnacentral:lncRNA from 1 species